UACGAAGGGGGCGAGCGUUGUUCGGAAUUACUGGGCGUAAAGGGCGCGUAGGCGGCGACUCAAGUUCGAUGUGAAAGCCCCGGGCUUAACCCGGGAAUGGCAUUGGAAACUGCUGAUCUGGAGGGUCGGAGGGGGGACUGGAAUUCUUGGUGUAGCAGUGAAAUGCGUAGAUAUCAAGAGGAACACCAGUGGCGAAGGCGAGUCCCUGGACGAUACCUGACACUGAGGCACGAAAGCCAAGGGAGCAAACAGG
rnacentral:rRNA from 1 species